rnacentral:rRNA from 1 species
AUUGAACGCUGGCGGCAGGCUUAACACCUGCAAGUCGAGCGAGCGGCGGACGGGUGAGUAAUGUCUGGGAAAACGCCCGAUGGAGGGGGAUAACUACUGGAAACGGUAGAUACAACCGCAUACAAUUCGAGUCGCCCAGAUGGGAUUAGCUAGUAGGUGGGGUAAUGGCUCACCUAGGCGCCGAUCCCUAGCUGGGCUGAAAGGAUGACCAGCCACGCUGGAACUGAGACACGGUCCAGACGCCUACGGGAGGCAGCAGUGGGGAAUAUUGCACGAUGGGCGCAAGCCUGAUGCAGCCAUGCCGCGUGUGUGAAGAAGGCCUUCGGGUUGUAAAGCACUUUCAGCGAGGAGGCGUUACUCGCAGAAGAAGCACCGGCUAACUCCGUGCCAGCAGCCGCGGUAAUAC